UACGGAGGGUGCAAGCGUUAUCCGGAUUCACUGGGUUUAAAGGGUGCGUAGGUGGGAAGGUAAGUCAGUGGUGAAAUCCCCAGGCUCAACUUGGGAACUGCAUCCGAUACUGGAUGGCUUGAAUUCGGGAGAGGGAUGCAGAAUUCCAGGUGUAGCGGUGAAAUGCGUAGAUAUCUGGAGGAAUACCGGUGGCGAAGGCGGCAUCCUGGACCGACAUUGACGCUGAGGAGCGAAAGCUAGGGGAGCAAACGGG
rnacentral:rRNA from 1 species